ACAAAAAUCUUAGAGUUUCUUUGGAUGCACAAUUAACUUGAAUUGCAAUAAAUAUUUCUUUGAAAAGAUUGAAUUGAAACUACCUAAAUAUUCAUGUUGAGGGACCACACUCCAAAUUGCAAUUAUACUAUUUUUAAGUUGGUCAUGAGAAGGAAUGCAAAUGCAUUUUAAGGGCUUUUUCCUCAUUAUGAAUAGGGAAGCCUCGUAAAAAACUUUCAAUUCUCUCUUGACUAAACUGAAUGUUUGUGAUUCAAAUCUCCUGUACAUGUAAUGAAAUGUAUGUGUGCAUGCGUUACCGGAUGGUUUUGCGUGUUGAGCAAAACCGUCACCCAACACCCAUAAACGCCACAACAUUUUGCAAACAUGGCUCUUGUACAUGUGUAUGUGCGUAUGCCAUAUAGUCUUGCGUCUCUUGCAUGUGCAUCAUCCAACACGAAACACUCGGCAACAUUUUGUGAACAUUGCCAAUGUGUGCGAGAUCCAACUUCCAAGCCAUUCAUAAAGUGUAUGUGCAUAUGUGCAAAGUGUAUGAACGCCAUCCAACAUCAAACACUCGGCAACAUUUUGUGAUAUGGCCCAUGUGUGUGACAUCCAAGCAUCCAUAAAGUGGGCCACAAAGUUGGGUGAUGUUCAUAUCAUUUAUCAACUCAAUACUUGGUCGGGUGAUGUUCCAAUCACAUAAUACCUGAAAUUUAAUUUUCUCAGAAGAAAAGUGAUGUAGGAUGGCAUGAUCUACCCUAGAUGUGCGGAAUUAGAAUUUAAGACAAAACAAAAAAAACAAUCAAUUUUCAACGUGGUUAUUUAUCAUAAAUAAGAAAUAUCUGAAAGAAAAUUUAUCAAUGAUCAUGACUAUCCAUUACAAUCAUGUAGUACUAAAGAUUCAAAUAUGAAAAGUAGAUCCUCC